CCAGACAGCCAGGAUGUUGGCUUAGAAGCAGCCAUCAUUUAAAGAAAGCGUAAUAGCUCACUGGUCGAGUCGGCCUGCGCGGAAGAUGUAACGGGGCUAAACCAUGCACCGAAGCUGCGGCAGCGACGCUUAUGCGUUGUUGGGUAGGGGAGCGUUCUGUAAGCCUGCGAAGGUGUACUGUGAGGUAUGCUGGAGGUAUCAGAAGUGCGAAUGCUGACAUAAGUAACGAUAAAGCGGGUGAAAAGCCCGCUCGCCGGAAGACCAAGGGUUCCUGUCCAACGUUAAUCGGGGCAGGGUGAGUCGACCCCUAAGGCGAGGCCGAAAGGCGUAGUCGAUGGGAAACAGGUUAAUAUUCCUGUACUUGGUGUUACUGCGAAGGGGGGACGGAGAAGGCUAUGUUGGCCGGGCGACGGUUGUCCCGGUUUAAGCGUGUAGGCUGGUUUUCCAGGCAAAUCCGGAAAAUCAAGGCUGAGGCGUGAUGACGAGGCACUACGGUGCUGAAGCAACAAAUGCCCUGCUUCCAGGAAAAGCCUCUAAGCAUCAGGUAACAUCAAAUCGUACCCCAAACCGACACAGGUGGUCAGGUAGAGAAUACCAAGGCGCUUGAGAGAACUCGGGUGAAGGAACUAGGCAAAAUGGUGCCGUAACUUCGGGAGAAGGCACGCUGAUACGUAGGUGAAGUCCCUUGCGGAUGGAGCUGAAAUCAGUCGAAGAUACCAGCUGGCUGCAACUGUUUAUUAAAAACACAGCACUGUGCAAACACGAAAGUGGACGUAUACGGUGUGACGCCUGCCCGGUGCCGGAAGGUUAAUUGAUGGGGUUAGCGGUAACGCGAAGCUCUUGAUCGAAGCCCCGGUAAACGGCGGCCGUAACUAUAACGGUCCUAAGGUAGCGAAAUUCCUUGUCGGGUAAGUUCCGACCUGCACGAAUGGCGUAAUGAUGGCCAGGCUGUCUCCACCCGAGACUCAGUGAAAUUGAACUCGCUGUGAAGAUGCAGUGUACCCGCGGCAAGACGGAAAGACCCCGUGAACCUUUACUAUAGCUUGACACUGAACAUUGAGCCUUGAUGUGUAGGAUAGGUGGGAGGCUUUGAAGUGUGGACGCCAGUCUGCAUGGAGCCGACCUUGAAAUACCACCCUUUAAUGUUUGAUGUUCUAACGUUGGCCCCUAAUCGGGGUUGCGGACAGUGUCUGGUGGGUAGUUUGACUGGGGCGGUCUCCUCCUAAAGAGUAACGGAGGAGCACGAAGGUUGGCUAAUCCUGGUCGGACAUCAGGAGGUUAGUGCAAUGGCAUAAGCCAGC
rnacentral:rRNA from 1 species